CAAUAGCGUAUAUUAAAGUUGUUGCGGUUAAAAAGCUCGUAGUUGGAUUUCUGCCGAGGACGACCGGUCCGCCCUCCGGGUGAGUAUCUGGUUUGGCCUGGGCAUCUUCUUGGAGAACGUAGCUGCACUUGACUGUGUGGUGCGGUGUCCAGGACUUUUACUUUGAGGAAAUUAGAGUGUUUCAAGCAGGCACACGCCUUGAAUACAUUAGCAUGGAAUAAUAAGAUAGGACCUCGGUUCUAUUUUGUUGGUUUCUAGAGCUGAGGUAAUGAUUAAUAGGGAUAGUUGGGGGCAUUCGUAUUUAACUGUCAGAGGUGAAAUUCUUGGAUUUGCUAAAGACGGACUACUGCGAAAGCAUUUGCCAAGGAUGUUUUCAUUG
rnacentral:rRNA from 1 species